CAGUAGCGCGGUAAUACGAACCGUGUGAACGUUAUUCGGAAUCACUUGGCUUAAAGCGCGUGUAGGUGGGUGGGUACGUCCGUCGUUGAAAGCCCCCGGCUCAACCGGGGAGCUGGCGCGGAUACGGCCUACCUGGAGGGACGUAGGGGGACCUGGAACUUCCGGUGGAGCGGUGAAAUGCGUUGAGACCGGAAGGAACGCCCGUGGCGAAAGCGAGGUCCUGGACGUUUUCUGACACUGAGACGCGAAAGCCAGGGGAGCGAACGGGAUUAGAGACCCCAGUAGUCCCUGUCUCUUAUAC
rnacentral:rRNA from 1 species